GACGUAGGGCGCGAGCGUUGUCCGGAUUUAUUGGGCGUAAAGAGCUCGUAGGCGGUCUGUCGCGUCUGCUGUGAAAACUCAGGGCUUAACCCUGAGCUUGCAGUGGGUACGGGCAGACUAGAGUGCGGUAGGGGAGACUGGAAUUCCGUGGUGUAGCGGUGAAAUGCGCAGAUAUUGGGAGGAACACCAGUGGCGAAGGCGGCUACCUGGACCGGUUCUGACGCUGAUGCGCGAAAGCGUGGGUAGCAAACAGG
rnacentral:rRNA from 1 species